UUGACGGUGGCUGGGCCAGCAGUGACCGUUUCGCGGGCCGACUUUGCCUCCUCGUCCCUGUGCUUUCCCACCUGCUGUUCCCCGCUGGAGGGUGUCUCACCUGGGAGAGGCGCUGCCCGCCUGCUCUGUGCCGUGCCGUGCCGUGCCGUGCGCAGCCCACCGGCACCACCGUCUCCUGCGGGCGCGCUGCACACUGUGAUGACGCCUGUCAUAAUAAUCAGAUACAUCUUUUAUUGACUUCCAAGUCUGUAAAGCUUAGUAAAGGUUUCUUAUACUCUUGUAAGUGCUUGGAUUGUCUCUUUUUCCACUGUUCAAUUCUCUGAAUGCUGUACUAUUGCUGGUGCUAAAAGAAUAAACAGCACAGAGUAUGUUUCUGCAUUAUAGUCUGUAAUAUUUUAAGUAUAUAUGCAACUAUAUGAAUAUAAUAGUAUAUUAUAUAUAACUGCAUUGCAUUGAUUAUAUACAUUGCAUUGAUUUUAAAGCUUUGUUUAAACUGCCAUUUUUAACACCACUUUUCCUACCAGUUUUGCUAGGUAGCUUUAAUUCAUUUUGUAUGAAGAUGACUGUGAAACCCUACUGUUGAAUAAAAACACGCGUGGGUCACUUGGGUCCAGAAACAGACAGUGGUAAGAUGUGUUGUCUCAAGAACUCCGCAAAGUCUCAGUGCCGGCUGAUUUCCACAGCGUCAUUGUUUAAACAAACAAAAGUAAAACCACACCAAGGUUUGGCACUUCUGAAAACAAUCAUUAUUGCUGGUGCUAAACUACAUUUAAUUUGCCCACUAGAUAAUAAAGUUAUUGGAGAAAUUAAGCUGCUAGAAAUUAUACCGCAGGAAGUGGAUUUUAAACUACGGAAAGUAAGAGACUCAGCCAUGAGCGCCUCGGACACAGUUCCCGCUGCUGUACCCGUUACAAAACCCAGGACAUUUCUUUCCUUCGCUCCGCUGACAACUGAUUUGUGCUGA
rnacentral:lncRNA from 1 species